AACUACACAGGGUGCGAACACCAAGCCAGGAUCACCAGGACUAUCUUGGAGGCUGACUACCACGAUCCCUUCUCUUUCUUUUUCUUCCAGUUUUAUUGAGGUUUGAUCUCAGUUACUCCCUUACUUGAAGAAGGCUUCGAUGAUUCCUCAUGGAGAAAUCCCAGAUACUUCUGCACAUGAUUCAGAGGUCCCUUACAACUGGCUUCAGCCUGCCUUCCAAGCCCUGUCUCUCGCCUCUCCCUUCCUUCACACUGUGCUUCAGCGAGAUGCUGUGUUUUUUGCAAAUGGACGGUUUGGGCAACUCUUUGUGGAGCAAGUCUAUCGGUGCCAUUUUCCCAACAACAUGGAUUCACUUCAUGUCUCUGAGUCACAUUUUGGCUGGAGUGUGGUGGCGUGAUCUUGGUUCACUGCAACCU
rnacentral:lncRNA from 1 species